rnacentral:rRNA from 1 species
AGCGAACGCUGGCGGCAGGCCUAACACAUGCAAGUCGAACGGCCCUUCGGGGCAGUGGCGGACGGGUGAGUAACGCGUGGGAACGUGCCCUUUGGUACGGAACAACUGAGGGAAACUUCAGCUAAUACCGUAUGUGCCCUUCGGGGGAAAGAUUUAUCGCCAUUGGAGCGGCCCGCGUUGGAUUAGGUAGUUGGUGGGGU